rnacentral:piRNA from 1 species
UCCUUUGCUUCUUUGUACUCUCCGGGUUUC